UCUCUUAUUUUGGAAAAAAAGAAGAGUCUCUCUCUCCUCUCUCUUUCUCUUUCCUUUCUCUUUUUUUGUUUCUUUCUCUCUCUAUCUAGACUUUCUCUCUCCUCUCUUCUCUCUCUACAUGAACUUUCUCUUUCUAGAAUUGAUUGGACCCUAUAAGUACAACUGUUAGUGAAUUCUGGAUCGACCUAGGUGAAGGGUCCGGAUUGAGAGUCGUCGGGUAGCGUGAUGGCCCCCACCUUAGUCUUUGCCAAACACUAUUAGAUUUGGUCACCUCCAAUCUCUAUUAAACUAUCUGUAUCUAAUUCA
rnacentral:lncRNA from 1 species